AUUGAACGCUGGCGGCAUGCUUUACACAUGCAAGUCGAACGGUAACAGGCCGCAAGGUGCUGACGAGUGGCGAACGGGUGAGUAAUGCAUCGGAACGUGCCCAGUCGUGGGGGAUAACUACUCGAAAGAGUAGCUAGUACCGCAUACGAUCUAUGGAUGAAAGCGGGGGACCGUAAGGCCUCGCGCGAUUGGAGCGGCCGAUGUCAGAUUAGGUAGUUGGUGGGGUAAAGGCUCACCAAGCCAACGAUCUGUAGCUGGUCUGAGAGGACGACCAGCCACACUGGGACUGAGACACGGCCCAGACUCCUACGGGAGGCAGCAGUGGGGAAUUUUGGACAAUGGGCGCAAGCCUGAUCCAGCAAUGCCGCGUGCAGGAAGAAGGCCUUCGGGUUGUAAACUGCUUUUGUACGGAACGAAACGGCUCCGGUUAAUACCCGGGGCUAAUGACGGUACCGUAAGAAUAAGCACCGGCUAACUACGUG
rnacentral:rRNA from 1 species